AUUGAACGCUGGCGGCAUGCUUUACACAUGCAAGUCGAACGGUAACAGGUUAAGCUGACGAGUGGCGAACGGGUGAGUAAUGCAUCGGAACGUGCCCGAUCGUGGGGGAUAACGCAGCGAAAGCUGUGCUAAUACCGCAUACGAUCUAUGGAUGAAAGCGGGGGACCGUAAGGCCUCGCGCGAUUGGAGCGGCCGAUGUCAGAUUAGGUAGUUGGUGGGGUAAAGGCUCACCAAGCCAACGAUCUGUAGCUGGUCUGAGAGGACGACCAGCCACACUGGGACUGAGACACGGCCCAGACUCCUACGGGAGGCAGCAGUGGGGAAUUUUGGACAAUGGGCGCAAGCCUGAUCCAGCAAUGCCGCGUGCAGGAAGAAGGCCUUCGGGUUGUAAACUGCUUUUGUACGGAACGAAACGGCGAGCUCUAAUACAGUUUGCUAAUGACGGUACCGUAAGAAUAAGCACCGGCUAACUACGUGCCAGCAGCCGCGGUAA
rnacentral:rRNA from 1 species